rnacentral:rRNA from 1 species
AGGUGGUCUGGCAAGUCCGGUGUGAAAGCCCUGGGCUAAACCUGGGAACGGCAUUGGAAACUGGCAGUGUGGAGUGCGGUAGAGGGUAGCGGAAUUCCCGGUGUAGCAGUGAAAUGCGUAGAUAUCGGGAGGAACAUCCGUGGCGAAGGCGGCUACCUGGACCAGCACUGACACUGAGGCACGAAAGCGUGGGGAGCAAACAAG